CUCAACCCUUGGGCAAUGGACAGGUCCCAAUCCAUGGCCUUUAUUUUUAGAUCAAUUAAGAAUAAGAAAAGAAAAAAAGAUUUUCUUUUACCUUUAUUUAUUCCUUCUUUGGCACUCUUCCUUUGUUACGCAGAUUUGAGUUUCUGAACUUUAUCACCUUCCUUUUCCGUGAGGAACUUCUUUUAAUAUUUUCUUACAGGGAAGGUCUGAUGGUGAUUAUUUCCCUCAGCAUUUGUCUGAGGAAGUCUUUAUUUCUCAAGUUUGUAUUUUUUUUCUUUAUUUUAGCAUUUAAAUACUUCACUCCAGUCUUCUUGCUUCUGUGUUUCUGAUGGGAAGUCUAAUUUAAUUCUUGUCCUGUUUUGCUGUAAGUCAGGUUACUUUUUCUCUGACUCCUUUGAAGAUUUUCUUUUUGUCUUUGGUUUUCUGAAGUUUGUGUAUAAUUGUUUUGGUAUUUCUCCUGUUUACUGUUCUCUACUUCUUGACUUGUGAUUUGCUGUGGUUAAUUUGGGAAAAUCCUCUGACAGUGUUACUUCAAAUAUUUCUUUAGUUUCUUGUUCUUGUUCUUCUCCUUCUGGUAUUCCAAAUAGAUGUAUAUUAUACUUUCGAAAUUAUUUCUGUUGACUUAUCUUCAAGCUUACUCAUUCUUUCCUCAAACUUGUUCUGUUGAUGAACCUAUUGAAGACAUUCUUUAUUUAUGUCAGUGAUUUUUAUUAUUUCUAGCAUUUCCUUUUGAUUGUUUCCUAGAGUUUCCAUCACUCUUCUUACAUUACACAUCUAUUUUUGCAUGUUGACUGUUUCCUCCAUUAGAGUCUUUAAAAUCUAAAACAGUUAUUUUAAAUUCUCUAUCUGAUAAUUUCCAAAUUUGUGUCAAAUCUGAGUCUGGUUCUGAUGCUUGCUUUGUCUUUCUGACUUGUUUUUUCUUGCUUUUUUUCAUACCUUAAAAUUUUCCAUUAAAACCCAUACAUAAUAUAUUGAAGAGUAAUCAGUGAGGCAAACAGGCCUUUAGUGAGCAUUUUUUGUUGUUAUUAUUAAUCUGGCUGAGAAUCAAGCUAUAUAUAAUGUUUGCUGUAGAUGUAGGUAGCGGUGGCUUCAAAUUCCUCUAGUAUCCUUAUUUUGUCUCCACUCUUGACUUUGGGCAUCCUUAUAUACUCCUCCACAGAGAGUCUGUGUUUUCUGGCUCUUUUAGGUGUAAUCCACAGUUACAUUGGAGCCCUGUUAGUGUGGUGAGAAGGUUGGCAUAGGGGAAGUAUUCUAUACUCUUAUGAUUACAUCACAGUCUUUUAGGGGGUCCAUGUCCCUUACAAGCAUUUCUUAGCUUUGCUUCUCCCCUUACAAGGAACAGGAAGGAUAUUGGUGCCCAGAGUGUGAAAAGUGACCUUACCUCAAGUGGGAUAAGUCUCUGCUAAAGGUUUUAUCCCUCACUGGAGGGUAGGUCUUUGUUAUGGAGAAUAUUCUGGGUAUAUUUCACAAUAACUUCUCUUCCAUGCGCCCCACAUGACCAUGAUGGCAUUUUCUCAACUCUUUACUGUGAGAGCUUGGUGGGGCUUCUGGAGGUAAAAUCCACAACUGUGUGGGAUUCCAAGAGUGUGACCCCAGGAGUUUAUCACUCUCACGCAACUCCACACUAGCGCUCCGGAAAAUCAUCAGCAUUACCACUGAAGUGCUACCAAGAGUUUGUUUCUAGUGGUUUCUGCACCGGGUAAACAGAUCUCAGCUGUGACUCCCCUAAUUCAUCUAUCUUUGCAGAUUUCUGGGUGGCUGUUUGCUGUAGGAACUUCAUUCUCAUUUGGAUACACGAAUUGUCACUGAUUUUCAGUUCACUCAGGUUCUUCUUGUGGUAAGAGUGGAAGCAAUGACUUUUAAGAACUUUACACAUUGGAGUUAAAGCCAGAUGUCUCUUAAUGUACCUUUUUUUGACCUUAUGCUCUCCUGUUUUAUUCUUCCCUCACUUUAUGGCUCUUCUAUCAUGCUAUAAGCAGCAAGAGAAAAAUAGUGUCUUCCCCACUGCCCAGAAAUCUCCUUAGCCAUGUAGCCAAGUCUAUCAGGUAUAUCUUCUGUUUUCAGCAUAACUGCAGACCACAUUAGCACUAGGCUUUUGUCAUAUCAUAAUAAACAUCUCUCUUCCAAUGAGAUCACAGGGAGCCAUCUCAGAAUCAGCCUACUAUAACUCCCAUCACUAUUUUAUAUGAUUAAUACAAAGGCCAGUAAAUUCAGUGCCAUGUGGCCAGCUUUACUAAUAAAUCAUAUUUUUGAUGGUAAAAUCUGUAGCUUAC
rnacentral:lncRNA from 1 species